AUGCCUCCCAAGGCUCCCAUCACUUGCAACUGGAUGAAAUCCAACGUCACCGAAGAGACCCUGGCCAACUUUGUUAAGUCCGGAUAUCUGCCCAAGAAGGAAGUGAUGUCCUACCGUGCCCCUGACCCGUCCGAAGAAAGACCUCAGCCGAGGGACGGGGAGGUAGUGAUCUUUGCAGACCAUAUGAGCCGGGGCUUCGCACCGCCCGGCUCAAAAUUCUUCUGGAACGUGCUCAACUUCUUUGACCUUCGGCCUCAGGAUAUAGGACCCAAUUCCAUAUCCAACAUCUGCAACUUCCAAGUUUUUUGUGAAGUAUAUCUUGGAGAAGAGCCGAGUCUGCUGCUCUUCAGAGAGCUGUUUUAUUUGAACCGCCAAACCGAGUGCGCAAACGGUCCAAGUCUAGAGUUAGGCGGCAUCUCCAUCCAACGGCGCAGGGACUGUCUAUUUCCUUACGCAGAACCGCCAAGUCACCCCAAGGACUGGAACAUGACUUGGUUCUACUGCCAAGACACGUCCCCGGCUGAUGAGAGCCCGCUGCCCGGCUUUCGCCCAACGCGCCUGGAGCCGACUCAUCCGCUAUCCGACAAGCUGACUGCCGCGGAAUGCCAGCCUCUGCUUCCAACGAUCAAUAAGAUCAAGGCCCUGCUAGGCAACGGUCUGAACGGAAUAGACCUGGUCCGGGUCUGGAUCUCAUGGCGGGUGAUCCCAUUGAGCCGCCGCCCCGGCUUAAUGUGUGAGUACACCGGGCGAAAGGAUGACCCGCAGAGGCAUAGUCGCAACGACCUUCCAGAAGACGUUGCCGAAGAAGAGACCAAGGCUCUAUUAAACGAGAGCCUGGCAGACUGUGGAAAAACCAGGCUAGCCCCGUUCUGCAAGACCAAUCCAGCCCCAGCGGUAAGCCACUGA
rnacentral:rRNA from 1 species